rnacentral:rRNA from 1 species
AUUGAACGCUGGCGGCAGGCCUAACACAUGCAAGUCGAACGGUAACAGGAAGAAGCUUGCUUCUUUGCUGACGAGUGGCGGACGGGUGAGUAAUGUCUGGGAAACUGCCUGAUGGAGGGGGAUAACUACUGGAAACGGUAGCUAAUACCGCAUAACGUCGCAAGACCAAAGAGGGGGACCUUCGGGCCUCUUGCCAUCGGAUGUGCCCAGAUGGGAUUAGCUAGUAGGUGGGGUAACGGCUCACCUAGGCGACGAUCCCUAGCUGGUCUGAGAGGAUGACCAGCCACACUGGAACUGAGACACGGUCCAGACUCCUACGGGAGGCAGCAGUGGGGAAUAUUGCACAAAGGGCGCAAGCCUGAUGCAGCCAUGCCGCGUGUAUGAAGAAGGCCUUCGGGUCGUAAAGUACUUUCAGCGGGGAGGAAGGGAGUAAAGUUAAUACCUUUGCUCAUUGACGUUACCCGCAGAAGAAGCACCGGCUAACUCCGUG